rnacentral:rRNA from 1 species
GACGAACGCUGGCGGCGUGCCUAAUACAUGCAAGUAGAACGCUGAAGGAGGAGCUUGCUUCUCCGGAUGAGUUGCGAACGGGUGAGUAACGCGUAGGUAACCUGCCUGGUAGCGGGGGAUAACUAUUGGAAACGAUAGCUAAUACCGCAUAACAGUAGAUGUUGUAUGACAUUUGCUUGAAAGGUGCAAUUGCAUCACUACCAGAUGGACCUGCGGUGUAUUAGCUAGUUGGUGAGGUAACGGCUCACCAAGGCGACGAUACAUAGCCGACCUGAGAGGGGGGGCGGCCACACUGGGACGGAGACACGGCACAGACGCCUUCGGGAGGCAGCAGGAGGGAAACUUCAGCAAUGGGCGGAAGACAGAGCGAGCAACGCCGCGUGAGGGAGGAAGGAUUUCGGGUCGUAGAGCUCUGUUGUAAGAGAAGAACGAGUGUGAGAGUGGAAAGUUCACACUGUGACGGUAUCUUACCAGAAAGCGACGGCUAACUACGUG